ACUGCCCUGAGAGGACCUCCCACCCUCGCGCGCGCGGGGACCCGCUAGCACCGCCGCGCGCUGCUCCAUCCAACCCACGCCUGCGGCUCUCCUCCUCAGCCGUGGGGACCGACCCUCCAGUCAAGCCUCGAGCUGGAAUCUAAGGGAAACCGCGCAGAUACUCGUUCCCUUCCUUCCUGGCCACCUGCGGGGUCUUGACACGCAUGCCCAAGGUGGCAUGUGGCCCUCGACUGCAGCCCCUCCAUGCAGGUUCUGGGAAUUGAACUCUGGUCCUUUGGAAGAGCAACAAGUGUCUUAACCGCUGAGCCAUGGUCAUCGGCACUGUUGUAUUGCUGUGAAGAGACACCAUGACCAAGGCAAACUUUAAGUGGAAGUUCACAUGCUAGGCUUGGAACGCUUCGUUUGUCUCAAGUCUUCAUCUUUGCUGCCUUCACUUCAUUGAGAGAGGCACAACAGAGAACGUCUCCUGUUGUCCCGAAUGGCCCUGGUUGAUGCUGCUGUCUUGUGCUGAUUUGGUGGAGGCCUGGUGGUUUCUUGCUGCAGAUUCCUGUUUGCUAUCCUGACACUACUCUGCUGGACUGCGGGAAUCCUGACAACAGAGAUUGGAAUCACCUGAAAGAGCUACUUCUAAUCAGGUCCACAUCCCCUUGUGCUAUUUACCAUCUUUUCUCUCCUACCUUUAUUUGUUUUUCUUUCUUCUUCUUCUUCUUCUUCUUCUUCCAUUUUUUGUUUGUUUGUUUGUUUUUUUGAAGACAGGGUUUCUCUAUAUAGCUUUGGCUGUCCUGGAACUCACUCUCUAGACCAGGCUGGCCUCGAACUCAGAAAUCCACCUGCCUCUGCCUCCCAAGUGGUGGGAAGUGGUGGGAUUAAAGGAGUGGACCACCAUUGCCGGGCUUAAUUAAUUCAUCAUCAUCAUCACCAUUAUCAUCAUCAUUAUUUUUUUUAAGAUUUAUUUAUUUUUUAUAUGUAAGUACACUGUAGCUGUCUUCAGACACUCCAGAAGAGGUCAUCAGAUUUCGUUACGGUGGUUGUGAGCCACCAUGUGGUUGCUGGGAUUUGAACUCGGGACCUUCGGAAGAGCAGUUGGGGCUCUUAACCACUGAGCCAUCUCGCCAGCCCUAUCAUCAUCAUUAUUUUGAAAUGGUCUUACUACUAUACUACUAUGUAACCUUGGCUGGCCAGAAACUCACUCCAUAGACCAGGCUGGGUUGAGUUUGCAGAGAUUCGCCUGCCUCUCUGAAUGGUGUGAUUAAAGGUAUGGGUUAUUAUU
ensembl:lincRNA Gm26600 predicted gene, 26600